rnacentral:rRNA from 1 species
UACGUAGGCAGCGAGCGUUGUUCGGAGUUACUGGGCGUAAAGGGUGUGUAGGCGGUUGUUUAAGUUUGGUGUGAAAUCUCCCGGCUCAACUGGGAGGGUGCGCCGAAUACUGAAUGACUUCGAGUGCGGGAGAGGAGAGUGGAAUUCCUGGUGUAGCGGUGAAAUGCGUAGAUAUCAGGAGGAACACCGGUGGCGAAGGCGGCCUUCUGGCUCAUAACUGACGCUGUAGCGCGAAAGCGUGGGGAGCGAACCGG